GACCUGGCUCAGGACGAACGCUGGCGGCGCGCCUAACACAUGCAAGUCGAACGAGCGAGAGAGAGUUUACUUUUUCGAGCGAGUGGCGAACGGGUGAGUAACGCGUGAGGAACCUGCCUCAAAGAGGGGGACAACAGUUGGAAACGACUGCUAAUACCGCAUAAGCCCACGACCCGGCAUCGGGUAGAGGGAAAAGGAGCAAUCCGCUUUGAGAUGGCCUCGCGUCCGAUUAGCUAGUUGGUGAGGUAACGGCCC
rnacentral:rRNA from 1 species